GUAACUCAUGCACCAACCCCCUGAACCAAUUUUGCUAAACUACAAGCACAAUUCCUGCUUUACACUCACAUUGCAGUUCUAAAACACUUUUUUUUUUUUCAAAACACUACACACAAUUCUCUGCAUUUGGCACAAUUUUUGGGCAGAAAAAUCUCUUGUUUUCACAAGGAACACACUGCCAUUCAAAUAUGCACACUGACUCAUCACAUGGGCAAACACCUGUCACACAUUUUUACAAUUAGCAAACAGAGCUUUAGCAUAAAAGGGCAACAGGUGAGCUCUUCUGUUUUGGAGCAAUGGAUGCCAACAAUGGAAACAGAGGCAGAGCCAGAGGAGUGAGUGUAAGAGGAGGACGAGGAAGGCCAAGGACUGUAGACUCUAAUGAGAUCCGAGCCACUUUGGUUGACCAUGUGGUCAACCAUGGUCUAACAAUGAGGGAGGCUGGGCAAAGGGUACAGCCAAAUUUGAGCAGGUUCACUGUAGCAUCCUUCAUCCGGACUUUCCGAAAUGAGAAUAGAACUGAAAGAUUACCUACACAAGGUGGUCAGGAACGAGUUCUGUCUCCUGAACAGGAAACUGCAGUCAUGAACAUGGUCUUAGAAAAUAACACCAUAACAUUACAAUAUGCUGGCAUGGAGAACAGACACACGAGGAGGAUAUAAAUCAAAAGAGGAGUCUAAUGAACAUCAUCAGAGAAAUAAUCUGGGAUGAAGCAGGUCUACAGGGUGCCAUUUGAACGCAAUUCAGAAAGAGUCAAAGAAUUGCGAUAUAACUAUGUGCAAAGAGUCCUUGAGCUAGAGGUGGCUGCAGUGGAGCACUAAUUCAUCUUCAUUGAUGAGGUUGGAUUAAACCUCACAACAAGACGAAAGAGGGGAAGGAAUAUCAUCGGCCAUUGUGCCAUUGUUGAAGUCCCUGGCCAGCGCGGAGGGAACAUCACAAUGUGUGCAGUGAUUACCCACCAUGGCGUCAUCCAUCACCAUGCUACCCUUGGCCCCUACAACACUGCCCAUCUGAUCACAUUCCUGGACACUCUACACAACCCACUCAUUCCCCCAGAUCAGAUAGACGGCCCAGAGCAGCUCAGGCCCGGUGCACCCAGGAUGCAAUCUUCCCAGAUGUCCUUCACUCCAGUGCCGGGACAACACGGACCCUGGGUACACCCGCAGCGGAGGACAUGAACCAGUUACAAUAUCCGCGAGACGGAACGCGAUGCUGUGAUCGUCGGAGACUCCAUCGUCCAACACGUCCGUGCUACGUUAGCCAAAGGUAAAUUGCACACUCACUGUUUCCCUGGUGCUCGUGUUCUCGAUGUUUCUGUGCAGAUACCCGUGAUCCUGAAGGCCGACGAGAGCCCCAAAGCGGUCGUGCUUCACGCCACGGUUAACGACACCAUGCAGCGGCAGACGGAGACACUGAAGAGGGACUUCAGAAGCCUGAUCGAGACGGUGCGCAGCACAACGCUCGCGGCGACGAUCAUUGUGUCAGGACCACUGCCCACGUAUCGACGAGGACACGAAAGGAGCGUCCUAGGCUUUUUCGCUCUGAUGGCCUGCACCCCAGCAGAGCGGAACUCCUCUCCAACAACAUCUCCAAGACUCUACACUCCAUUUGACUAGAUUUACACAAGCUCCAGUCUGGAUCCAGAACACCUGAGAAGAGGUGAUGCCAACCCCGAUGAUGCUAACCCAGAGACAGCAUACAGAACUACCACAUUUUGCUAUAAGUUUGAUUGCAUAAUUGCUGGUAAUAGUGUUAAUCGUCUGUUUGUUUGACUUUUAUUGAUUUUUUCCGAACAUUUCUGCCGUAUGCACUUAAACUGACAGUCACCACUGAUAAGCUACUACUAAAUAUUGUAGAAACUUAAUUUUCUGUAAAGUUGCUUUGCAAUGAUUUGUAUCGUAAAAAGCGC
ensembl:lncRNA